rnacentral:rRNA from 1 species
AGUCGAACGAUGAUGCCCAGCUUGCUGGGUGGAUUAGUGGCGAACGGGUGAGUAACACGUGAGUAACCUGCCCCUGACUCUGGGAUAAGCGUUGGAAACGACGUCUAAUACUGGAUAUGACCGCCGAUCGCAUGGUCUGGUGGUGGAAAGAUUUUUUGGUUGGGGAUGGACUCGCGGCCUAUCAGCUUGUUGGUGAGGUAAUGGCUCACCAAGGCGACGACGGGUAGCCGGCCUGAGAGGGUGACCGGCCACACUGGGACUGAGACACGGCCCAGACUCCUACGGGAGGCAGCAGUGGGGAAUAUUGCACAAUGGGCGAAAGCCUGAUGCAGCAACGCCGCGUGAGGGAUGACGGCCUUCGGGUUGUAAACCUCUUUUAGUAGGGAAGAAGCGNAAGUGACGGUACCUGCAGAAAAAGCACCGGCUAACUACGUGCCAGCAGCCGCGGUAAUACGUAGGGUGCAAGCGUUGUNCCGGAAUUAUUGGGCGUAAAGAGCUCGUAGGCGGUUUGUCGCGUCUGCUGUGAAAUCCCGAGGCUCAACCUCGGGCUUGCAGUGGGUACGGGCAGACUAGAGUGCGGUAGGGGAGAUUGGAAUUCCUGGUGUAGCGGUGGAAUGCGCAGAUAUCAGGAGGAACACCGAUGGCGAAGGCAGAUCUCUGGGCCGUAACUGACGCUGAGGAGCGAAAGCGUGGGGAGCGAACAGGAUUAGAUACCCUGGUAGUCCACGCCGUAAACGUUGGGCGCUAGAUGUAGGGACCUUUCCACGGUUUCUGUGUCGUAGCUAACGCAUUAAGCGCCCCGCCUGGGGAGUACGGCCGCAAGGCUAAAACUCAAAGGAAUUGACGGGGGCCCGCACAAGCGGCGGAGCAUGCGGAUUAAUUCGAUGCAACGCGAAGAACCUUACCAAGGCUUGACAUACACCGGAAACGGCCAGAGAUGGUUGCCCCCUUGUGGUCGGUGUACAGGUGGUGCAUGGUUGUCGUCAGCUCGUGUCGUGAGAUGUUGGGUUAAGUCCCGCAACGAGCGCAACCCUCGUUCUAUGUUGCCAGCGCGUUAUGGCGGGGACUCAUAGGAGACUGCCGGGGUCAACUCGGAGGAAGGUGGGGAUGACGUCAAAUCAUCAUGCCCCUUAUGUCUUGGGCUUCACGCAUGCUACAAUGGCCGGUACAAAGGGCUGCGAUACCGUAAGGUGGAGCGAAUCCCAAAAAGCCGGUCUCAGUUCGGAUUGAGGUCUGCAACUCGACCUCAUGAAGUCGGAGUCGCUAGUAAUCGCAGAUCAGCAACGCUGCGGUGAAUACGUUCCCGGGCCUUGUACACACCGCCCGUCAAGUCAUGAAAGUCGGUAACACCCGAAGCCGGUGGCCUAACCC